rnacentral:lncRNA from 1 species
UUUUUUUGAAGUUUUGAACCAGUUUUUUGAAGAGUCUGAAGGGCAACUCUAUGGACCAGGAAUCGCUGAUUAGCAUAUUAAUGCGAUGGAAAUUGCGACCUGCACCUUUCCCGCCGCACGACAAAUGCACACUCGAGACGCCUCGGUGAAAUGCUCGUACCAGGCAUAAUAUGACAUAUAUCUUAAUGAAAAAAUUUAAGAAGACUGCUGAAAGAUAUAACAAUAAAACCUGAAAGUUUCGUUUCAAUCGGAUAUUUAUU